rnacentral:rRNA from 1 species
CAGCAGCCACGGGAAUACGAAGGGGGCUAGCGUUGCUCGGAAUCACUGGGCGUAAAGGGUGCGUAGGCGGGUCUUUAAGUCAGGGGUGAAAUCCUGGAGCUCAACUCCAGAACUGCCUUUGAUACUGAAGAUCUUGAGUUCGGGAGAGGUGAGUGGAACUGCGAGUGUAGAGGUGAAAUUCGUAGAUAUUCGCAAGAACACCAGUGGCGAAGGCGGCUCACUGGCCCGAUACUGACGCUGAGGCUCGAAAGCGUGGGGAGCAAACAGGAUUAGAUACCCCGGUAGUCCCUGUCUCUUAUAC